AUAUCAAUAAGCGGAGGAAAAGAAACUAACAAGGAUUCCCCUAGUAACUGCGAGUGAAGCGGGAAAAGCUCAAAUUUAAAAUCUGGCGGCCUCUGGCCACCCGAGUUGUAAUUUAGAGAAGCGUCUUCCGCGCUGGACCAUGCACAAGUCUCCUGGAAUGGAGCGUCAUAGAGGGUGAGAAUCCCGUCUUUGGCAUGGAUGUACCAGGGCUUUUGUGAUGCGCUCUCAAAGAGUCGAGUUGUUUGGGAAUGCAGCUCAAAAUGGGUGGUGAACUCCAUCUAAAGCUAAAUAUUGGCGAGAGACCGAUAGCGAACAAGUACCGUGAGGGAAAGAUGAAAAGCACUUUGGAAAGAGAGUGAAACAGUACGUGAAAUUGUUGAAAGGGAAACGCUUGAAGUCAGUCGCGUCGACCGAGACUCAGCCUCGCCUUGGCUUGGUGUACUUCUCGGCCGACGGGUCAGCGUCAAUUUUGCCCCUCGGAUAAUGGCAAGGGAAAGGUAGCACCUUUAUAGGUGUGUUAUAGUCUCUUGUCGCAUGCGAGGGUCGGGAUUGAGGAACUCAGCACGCACCUCUCGGUGUCGGGGCUUCGGCCCACGCUACGUGCUUAGGAUGCUGGCGUAAUGGCUUUAAACGACCCGUCUUGAAACACGGACCAAGGAGUCUAACAUGCCCGCGAGUGUUCGGGUGGAAAACCCGUGCGCGUAAUGAAAGUAAAAGUUGGGACCUCUGUCGUGGGGGGCACCGACGCCCGGACCAGACCUUCUGUGACGGAUCUGCGGUAGAGCGUGCAUGUUGGGACCCGAAAGAUGGUGAACUAUGCCUGAAUAGGGUGAAGCCAGAGGAAACUCUGGUGGAGGCUCGUAGCGAUUCUGACGUGCAAAUCGAUCGUCAAAUUUGGGUAUAGGGGCGAAAGACUAAUCGAACCAUCUAGUAGCUGGUUCCUGCC
rnacentral:rRNA from 1 species